rnacentral:misc_RNA from 1 species
GUGAAUCAUCGAAUUUUUGAACGCAAAUUGCACUCUCCGGGUUUCCCGUAUAGGAUUCCUGGUUGCAUUUCAGCCUAAAAAAAUCGACAUUGUGGCUGUGUUAUGGUGACUUUCGUCGUAGAGUGGUUAUCUUAAUUCUCGGGUUAAGCGACUUAAGAAUUUUUUUUACUAUUCUAGGAAGUUUUCUAAGAUUUUUCUGUUACGUUUAAGGUAACGAAUGUCUUAUUAGACGUGGCCGUCAUAUCGGAUCGUUUCCAUAUUUUUUUCGUUAACUGACCUCGAACAUUUAUGAUUACC